CGGCGUACGGGUGCGGAACACGUGCGCAACUGCCUUUAUCUGGGGGAUAGCCUUUCGAAAGGAAGAUUAAUACCCCAUAAUAUGUUGAAUGGCAUCAUUCGACAUUGAAAACUCCGGUGGAUAGAGAUNGGGCACGCGCAAGAUUAGAUAGUUGGUGAGGUAACGGCUCACCAAGUCUACGAUCUUUAGGGGGCCUGAGAGGGUGAUCCCCCACACUGGUACUGAGACACGGACCAGACUCCUACGGGAGGCAGCAGUGAGGAAUAUUGGACAAUGGGUGAGAGCCUGAUCCAGCCAUCCCGCGUGAAGGACGACUGCCCUAUGGGUUGUAAACUUCUUUUGUAUAGGGAUAAACCUACCCUCGUGAGGGUAGCUGAAGGUACUAUACGAAUAAGCACCGGCUAACUCCGUGCCAGCAGCCGCGGUAAUACGGAGGGUGCAAGCGUUAUCCGGAUUUAUUGGGUUUAAAGGGUCCGUAGGCGGAUCUGUAAGUCAGUGGUGAAAUCUCACAGCUUAACUGUGAAACUGCCAUUGAUACUGCAGGUCUUGA
rnacentral:rRNA from 1 species